GACGGAGGAAGCGAGCGUUACCCGGAUUUACUGGGCGUAAAGGGCGUGUAGGCGGCUUGGGACGUCCCAUGUGAAAGGCCACGGCUCAACCGUGGAGGAGCGUGGGAUACGCUCAGGCUAGACGGUGGGAGAGGGUGGUGGAAUUCCCGGUGUAGCGGUGAAAUGCGCAGAUACCGGGAAGAACGCCGAUGGCGAAGGCAGCCACCUGGCUCACUUGUGACGCUGAGGCGCGAAAGCGUGGGGAGCAAACGGG
rnacentral:rRNA from 1 species